GUUGGAAUUGCUAGUAAUCGCGAAUCAGAAUGUCGCGGUGAAUACGUUCCCGGGCCUUGUACACACCGCCCGUCACACCAUGAGAGUCGAUAACACCCGAAGCCUGUGAGCUAACCGCAAGGGGGCAGCAGUCGAAGGUGGGGUUGAUGAUUGGGGUGAAGUCGUAACAAGGUAAC
rnacentral:rRNA from 1 species